GUCCUCUUGGUGCUUACUACAGGCUGUGCUCUUACACUGACUGUACAGGAAGAGGAGGUGGAGCAAACCUGGCCUGUAUACACCCCAGCCCAGGUCACUGUGCCUGGUCUGUAUUGUGAAUGGGGAGACAUGG
ensembl:snoRNA